UGUUCUGUGGCUUAGUUGGUUAAAGCGCCGGACUAGUGAUACGGAGUCGUGGGCUCGAAUUCCACCAAAAAAG
rfam:Aedes albopictus isolate Foshan contig75879, whole genome shotgun sequence.